CCAAACCCAAAACACACAACAUCCUCAAACCACACCUCUCACUCUCUCACUCACUAUUUUCAUUACUAUCAAAACUAUUUGAAGCUGGAUGUACAUACACCCCCCAUCGAGUUCCACACCAUUCAUCGACGCCCAUCCAAAACUCCAAUCUCUUCCACAUUCAUCCCCCCGACGGAACCUCAAAGAGCCCCUAGAUAGUAAUUCGUUGGUUCGUGCGUGCGUUCGUUCGUCAGCUUCCGUCCAGCAGCACCCGAAGUCUAGGACGAUGGAAGGAAGGCAGCGAUGGAGUGCAUAUGCAGCCGGCGAGUCGCACACAAUCCAACGCGGUGCGACGCAAUGAAUCCAUCGCCAUCAUCGUCGUCGCAGAUGAGGAGGAGGAGAUGGCGCACUGGAUUGUUUGAUUGAUUGAUUCAUUCCCCGAUGGAUUUCAUGCAUCAUCUUCUUCUUCGUCUUGCUGCUGUUGCAAGUGCUGUUGCUGGUAGGGCCCAAUUUUAUGCCCCGCGCUGCGGGAUCGGGCACCUGACGUCAGUCGCGCCCUCUGCACGCAUUCCCCUCUUUAAUGCCGCGCGGACUCUUCCUUCAAAGUGACCACCCCAGCUCAUCGAUACAACGGAAUCCUGCUUGUCGAGACAAACCUGCCGAUUCUCUUGCUUGCCACAUGGACGGUCUAGACCUCGCACACCCCCCCGGUGAUUCCACUUGGAGUGUGUGUUCUCCUCAACAGCCGCCUGGAUCACCCAUCGUUGUUGCUGCUGUUGUUGUUGUUAAAAUUCCAUCAUCAUCCCCCACGCCUAGCUCAUCGAUGCGUAGGAUGCGGUAUAGGAGGAUGAGGCGGACCGGGAGAGAGAGAGCCUCCGGCGUCGCAUUUUUUGAAGUCAGACGGAAUCACGCUUUCAACGACAUCCGGAGUUACUGAUACGAAGCUGGAAAAUGCACCACAACUGGCCCGAGUCGUGGGUUUAAUACUGUGAGCUCCGUUCUUGUGUGCUCCAUGUGAGGAUGGCAAUCGCGUCGACCGCAGCUCGUUGUCAGGAUUUCGGGGAUUGGACAAGGAUUGUAGGAUGAUGACAUCAUUGGGUGAUCGGGCUGUGAUGUCAGUGAAUGGCUCCCAUGUCUCUGUUAAUGAUAAUCGGAAGAUAGUGGAGUUGCAACGGGAUUUGCUGUCGGUUCGGACCCUGCACACAGCGAUUAGCUUUAUGAAAUCAGAUACAACUCACCGUCUAUCAAGGUUUAAUAAUUCAGCGAUCUAGCUUAUUCACUACCAUUUGCGCCAAUCUGAUUGAGGCAAUCAGAUCCGUCUCUCCAAGCUGUGGUGAGCUCAGUCGACCAUGAAUAGAACUAGCAACAUGGGUUACAAUCCUUGUGGAUAAGAGAACGAAUAGUGAUGCGAAUGGAGUCCUCCGGCACCCUCUUCGGCGACGGUAUCUCCGUUGUACCUACACAUAUAUCUUUUGGGCAACUCAAACUCAUACACAUCAGUUCGUAUCUUAUACCAACGAGCUUGUACAUGCAGUUUUGAAUGCAGACCUCUGAGUCAUGGCGCCGAAGAUGUCUGCUGCAGACCAUUAGCGGCUGUAUAGGCUGUACACUCUCUUUGAAUGAUUUUGGCAGCGCAUGAGUGUUGCAGAAACGAUACCCCCAUCGCAUCAGCCACUGCAACUCGACAGGCAGCACCAAGCGGAGAUUGCAUGAGAUGCUUGUCACACUGUUGUUGCUAGUGCCAGACGUUAAUUAGUUCCCCGCGCUUGUGCAAGUAAACACCCCCCCCCCCCCCCCCAAGAGUGUAUUACCCCUCCGCGGUAAAGUCCUUGGCCAUGAUCAGAGAUUCUACGGCGGCAGUAGAGUCGUGCGCAGACUACGAAUCUCUCAACUGCCGCGUUUGUCGUGUCUAAAAAUCUCACUAACUACACCAUUUGCAAGCACGAACAAUCACCCCAUCCUUCUCAUACUGGUGUUCUGCCUGGGCGUGCACUGUCCUCGAUGCUAACUUUGUGGAAAGUUUUAUAAUUUAUUUUGAGGGAGCCUUGCGAUCAUCGAUGAUGAUCGAACGUUACGUCUGCAUUGAUCAUCUGCUGCGGCACGGUGAUUGGUUACGGAUUAGUCAUUUCCGUGCCAACCAAAAUGUAAUGCUUUUGUGAAUAGGACGUCACUAUAUUAUUGGGAGUUAUACUCGAUGUCAUUCAAAAUAAAGUUCAUUUCAGGACCUACAUUAUCAAUCGAUACAAUGAAGA